rnacentral:rRNA from 1 species
GUGGGGAAUCUUCCGCAAUGGACGAAAGUCUGACGGAGCAACGCCGCGUGAGUGAAGAAGGUCUUCGGAUCGUAAAGCUCUGUUGUACGGGACGAAUGUUGGAGGCGUGAAUAAUGCCAUCAAAUGACGGUACUGUACGAGGAAGCCACGGCUAACUACGUGCCAGCAGCCGCGGUAAUACGUAGGUGGCGAGCGUUGUCCGGAAUUAUUGGGCGUAAAGGGAGCGCAGGUGGGAAGGUAAGUCUGUUUUAAAAGCGUCGGGCUCAACCCGAUGAGGGAACAGAAACUAUUUUUCUUGAGUGCAGGAGAGGAAAGCGGAAUUCCUAGUGUAGCGGUGAAAUGCGUAGAUAUUAGGAGGAACACCAGUGGCGAAGGCGGCUUUCUGGACUGUAACUGACACUGAGGCUCGAAAGCCAGGGGAGCGAACGGGAUUAGAUACCCUUGUAGUCC